UGAGUAGGGCGGGACACGUGGUAUCCUGUCUGAAUAUGGGGGGACCAUCCUCCAAGGCUAAAUACUCCUGACUGACCGAUAGUGAACCAGUACCGUGAGGGAAAGGCGAAAAGAACCCCGGCGAGGGGAGUGAAAAAGAACCUGAAACCGUGUACGUACAAGCAGUGGGAGCACAGGUUUACCUGUGUGACUGCGUACCUUUUGUAUAAUGGGUCAGCGACUUAUAUUCUGUAGCAAGGUUAACCGUAUAGGGGAGCCGGAGGGAAA
rnacentral:rRNA from 1 species